rnacentral:rRNA from 1 species
AUUGAACGCUGGCGGCAUGCCUUACACAUGCAAGUCGAACGGUAACAGGUCUUCGGAUGCUGACGAGUGGCGAACGGGUGAGUAAUACAUCGGAACGUGCCUAGUAGUGGGGGAUAACUACUCGAAAGAGUGGCUAAUACCGCAUGAGAUCUACGGAUGAAAGCAGGGGAUCGCAAGACCUUGUGCUACUAGAGCGGCCGAUGGCAGAUUAGGUAGGUGGUGGGAUAAAAGCUUACCAAGCCGACGAUCUGUAGCUGGUCUGAGAGGACGAUCCGCCACACUGGGACUGGGACACGGCCCAGACUCCUACGGGAGGCAGCAGUGGGGAAUUUUGGACAAUGGGCGCAAGCCUGAUCCAGCAAUGCCGCGUGCAGGGUGAAGGCCUUCGGGUUGUAAACUGCUUUUGUACGGAACGAAAAGCCCUGGGUUAAUACCCUGGGGUCAUGACGGUACCGUAAGAAUAAGCACCGGCUAACUACGUGCCAGCAGCCGCAGUAACAC